GGCUUGCAUGAGGGAUAGUAGUGAAAAUCCUCCCAUUUUUUUAUGGGAGAUUGUAACGGAUAGCCCGACCGGAG
rnacentral:sRNA from 1 species